GAAAGUCUACAUAUAUGUUCUUAAAUUUGUUUGAACGUAAUCCUUCCAAAAGAUUAAUUGUACCAGAGACAGAAUAAUGAAGUUCUAUAUUUGUUCAGUGAGAUUAUAACAGGCUCAAUCAGAGCCACAGCCUGUGGAGAACAGUCAAGUGUCUGAGCAUUAACCACCUGCUGUCAUUAGUUUGUGCAUCUGCUGUAAAAAGUUCCAAAAAUGUUCCUUAAAUUCCAGAAAAACAAACAUUCAUCCACUCAUGAUGACCCUGUCAGAUUGUUCCUAAUCCGGGUUUCCGUUUUUGUCAAUCAUUGUCAAUAGAUAAAUGUUUACAUUUACUUGAAUUAACAUUUGUUUCCAGGUAUCUACGCUCACUGGUGGAAACCAUCUUAAUUUACCAGCACUUUAAGAAACCCAGCUCUGAGCAUACCGCCCCUAAACAGGAGCUGGUGGAUUUCUGGAUGGACUUCCUGGUGGAGGCGACCAAGAAAGACGUCUCCUCUGUCAGGUUCCCAGUGUUAAUACUGGAGCCCACCAAAGUGUACCAGCCCUCGUAUUUGUCCAUAAAUAAGGACGUGGAGGACAACACGGUGUCCAUCUGGCAUGUUGCUCCAGAUGAUGAG